GCAGUCGUGGCCGAGUGGUUAAGUCGAUAGACUAGAAAUCCAUUGGGGUCUCCCCGCACAGGUUCGAAUCCUGUCGACUGCG
rnacentral:tRNA from 1 species